rnacentral:rRNA from 1 species
GACGAACGCUGGCGGCAUGCCUAACACAUGCAAGUCGAACGGAACUUGUUGAAUGAAGUUUUCGGAUGGAUUUUAGCAAGUUUAGUGGCGGACUGGUGAGUAACACGUAAGCAAUCUACCUAUUAGAGGGGAAUAACAAUGAGAAAUCAUUGCUAAUACCGCAUAAGCUUGUAGUACCGCAUGGUACAGCAAGAAAAGGAGCAAUCCGCUAAUAGAUGAGCUUGCGGCUGAUUAGCUAGUUGGUAAGGUAACGGCUUACCAAGGCAACGAUCAGUAGCCGAGCUGAGAGGCUCUUCGGCCACAUUGGGACUGAGAUACGGCCCAGACUCCUACGGGAGGCAGCAGUCGGGAAUAUUGCGCAAUGGAGGAAACUCUGACGCAGUGACGCCGCGUGAGUGAAGAAGUAUUUCGGUAUGUAAAGCUCUAUCAGCAGGGAAGAAAAUGACGGUACCUGACUAAGAAGCCCCGGCUAACUACGUGCCAG